rnacentral:rRNA from 1 species
CAUGCCGCGUGUGUGAAGAAGGCUUUCGGGUUGUAAAGCACUUUCAGCGAGGAAGAAAGCCUGGUGGUUAAUACCCAUCAGGAAGGACAUCACUCGCAGAAGAAGCACCGGCUAACUCCGUGCCAGCAGCCGCGGUAAUACGGAGGGUGCGAGCGUUAAUCGGAAUUACUGGGCGUAAAGCGCGCGUAGGUGGCUUGGCACGCCGGUUGUGAAAGCCCCGGGCUCAACCUGGGAACGGCAUCCGGAACGGCCAGGCUAGAGUGCAGGAGAGGAAGGUAGAAUUCCCGGUGUAGCGGUGAAAUGCGUAGAGAUCGGGAGGAAUACCAGUGGCGAAGGCGGCCUUCUGGCCUGACACUGACACUGAGGUGCGAAAGCGUGGGUAGCAAACAGGAUUAGAUACCCUGGUAGUCCACGCCGUAAACGAUGUCGACUAGCCGUUGGGACCUUUAAGGACUUAGUGGCGCAGUUAACGCGAUAAGUCGACCGCCUGGGGAGUACGGCCGCAAGGUUAAAACUCAAAUGAAUUGACGGGGGCCCGCACAAGCGGUGGAGCAUGUGGUUUAAUUCGAUGCAACGCGAAGAACCUUACCUACCCUUGACAUCCUGCGAAUUUGGUAGAGAUACCUUAGUGCCUUCGGGAGCGCAGUGACAGGUGCUGCAUGGCUGUCGUCAGCUCGUGUUGUGAAAUGUUGGGUUAAGUCCCGUAACGAGCGCAACCCUUGUCCUUAUUUGCCAGCACGUAAUGGUGGGAACUCUAAGGAGACUGCCGGUGACAAACCGGAGGAAGGUGGGGACGACGUCAAGUCAUCAUGGCCCUUACGGGUAGGGCUACACACGUGCUACAAUGGCCGGUACAAAGGGUUGCGAGACCGCGAGGUGGA